GACUUGAUUAACAUCCGGGAAUUUGUCAUGGCGGCCAUGCAGGAAGUGGUGUGUGUCUCGUCUGCACUGUCCGACUUUUGCUGAAAUUCAUGAACGAAAACCGAGAUUGUGUUUUUAACUAACAGCCAUUAAGACUGACUUUGGGCAACCAGAAGAGAUUGAGAUUUUUAAAGAUAAUGAAUCGUCAUUUCAGCUAUGGAUCUGACACCAGUGCAUAUAAAUUGAAGAAGUUUCUCAACACUGACCUCUACUGGACCUAUUAGAAGUUGGGCAUGCCUCCAGAUGGGUGUACUGUGAUUAACGUAAGUAACAUUUUUGCUCUUUCCAGACCAGUGGGUGUGUAUUUGAUCCUCGGUUUCCUUAGCAUACAUACAUUGUACGACUGUACGUGGCCUCCAGCAAUUCUUCGUCUUUAUUGGCAGUAAGAUUGGUGCAGUUGCUCUACUCACUGGCUUCCAACUUCACUGACUCUUGUUUGAAUCCUACAAGGGACGUUGUG